GGGCUGAUUUUGAGCCUAACAGCUGCUAUGGAUUAAUCUGGACUUUGGCCCAAACCUUCCCUAUUUUCUAAUAAGAGCCUGCAGCAGAAAUAUUGUGUAUACACCCAGUAUAUAUUACUGUAUACGAGUUGUAUUUAGCCAUUUUGCUUUAAGUCGACCCAAUAACCAAGGUGUGUUGGGCCCAUUAGAAGCCCACCUUGUGUCUGUUGACUAAAAAAUAUUAAUUAAAUCAAUUUUAAAAGAAUAAACGAAUUUUAAAAGAGUCGCCACCUAUUUUUUAGGAAAAAGUAGGAAAUCAAUUAAAUAUGUCUACGAAACCAUUAGAUUAUAGGUAGGGGAUUCAAGUUAUUCUAAAGGGAAUGUGUUAAGCAUCCUUCGAAAUCCACAACUGUGGGUCCCGACUGAAUUCAUUUUAUUUUAUUUUUUUUCAAAUUGAAGAGGAGAUAAAAACAAAUAUACAAGUAUAAUAAACAAGUAAUGUACACAAAUAAUCAAAAUAAAACAAUAAUAAGAAACAAUAAUAAAUAAAAAUUAUAAUUCGAACUCCGUUCGAAUAGCUUCAAUGGAAAUCAACUUUGUGUACCUGUAAAGACACUUGGUAAAAAUGUUAGUACUAAAUAAAUGUGAAUAAAAAUGAAUAACUCAAAUAAUAACUUAAAAAUAAAACCUGUCUUAUUAAUAUGGAAGGCCUUGGAAAUCGACGGUAAUUUCUUCAUUGGCCAAUUUUAUGUUUUCAAAAUAGCUAAUAUUUGACAAUUACACUAUUAAAAAUAUGAAAAUAUCGACAUAAAAAAAAAGAACCAAACUCAUUGCCCAUGACUACAUACACCAUAACAAUAUAACUUAGAAACAAAUGACGUUAAACAAUAAAACUUAUAUGACAACAAAAUCAAAUACCAAUAUUAAGAUUUGUGGAAAAAAUAUCUAACCCACAACAUUUAUCUAUAUUUUGUAACAAAUAAUAAAUUAAAAAGAAAUUUAGAAACAACAACAGUGACCAAAAUUAAAUCCCAACAAUACAUAAUUGAAGAUACAGCACCAAAACAUCCAUUAAUUAAUAAUUUAAUUAUUAUAUGUAUAUCACUUUACAAUAAAUAAAAGAAGACAAACUAGCAGCUAAUAAAUAUGGUUCACAAACAAACAAAAAUAAUAGAAAAUAAUCAAAAUAGUAGUAAAAAAAAUAUAGCCAAAAACAAAUAAGACAACACAAACAGUGAUUUAUCGGAGAUGGUUUCGAGUGGUGCUCACCGGAAAAUACUAACAGUCCCAAAGAAUGCUAUAUGAUAGACACAGAGUAAUAAAAAGAAAAUACAAAACAAAAAUAAACAAAGAGAAGGAGCGUGUUCACCAGAAAUUCGCGAAUUCGACCAGAUCUGAAUUUACUCAGUGAUCGUGGAAGCAGUAGGCGUGCGGUGGUUGGUCUGAUUCGUCGUCGUUCAUCGGGUAUUAACUGGAACACCUGCAAAACAAAAAAAAAUCAUAAAAGGAGGAGGGGAAGGGAUUAGUUGUUGUUGGAUUUUCUGGUGGUUUUUUGGGGUUUUUGGUUGUUUUUCGAUCUCACAGCCAGCUCGUGGGUGCUCGCCGAAAACCUUCACCGUAAAAUAUUUUUGACGGAUUUUGGACAUAAAAUUUAUAUCAAAUGAUAGCCCUUGAAGAGCUCUGCACAUUUAUGUAAAGGGUUUAGGAUGGGGAUGACUGACACUUUGUAAAUCUAAAGAAAAAAGUGAAGACUUAUGUUUGGUUUUUCUUAGAUCUACGGAGUUUGGCUAUGGAUAAGGAUGAAUGGUUUACAAAUUUGUGUAAGAAUGAAUGGUUUGCAAAUUUGUGUAGAGGAGGGUGAAAGGAAAAAAUGGUAAAUUUUGGAGAAUUUUCCGGCCAAGGGGUGGUGGACUCGCCGGAUUCCGACGGAACUCCUGUGAGCUUUGUCACUGAAAAAUUAUGAACACUCCGAGCAAUUUCAAAAGAGACCCCCCGCCCCUUAAAAAUCUGAAAAAUAUUCUUUAAAGCAAUUCCACCACCUUUUUUUAAAAAACUUUUUACCCAACUUUUUCUUCCCACCUUUUCCCACUUUUUCCCCCUUUUUCUUUCCACUUUUUCCUAUUUUUUCCUACUUUUUCCCCCUUUUUCUUUCCACUUUUCCCCACCUAUUUUUUUGACAGAAUCAAAAUAUAAAUAGGAAAAUAAUUAUGCAAUGGGCUUAGAUUGUGGGCUUGGGAUUGCUGCCUAAAAUCAUCGAUCAAUCUGUGUAUACAAAUUUUAUCCGUAUUUGAAUGAAUUUCUAGACUGUGCAAAAUAUCAAAAUGAAUAUUAACAAAUGUAACAAAUAAAAUGAAUAUAAAAAAUAAAAGAAAUAUAUAAUGAACUUAACUAAUGACAUGUAAAAAUGCAUUUUUAAAAUUAACUGAUAAAAAGUCCUAAAUUUUGAUAAAUAAGGAUAGUUAUCGAUAAACUUAUUUAAAAUUAUAAAAAAAAUUAUUUUGAACUAUUAAAUAAAUAAAACUUAAAAAUUACGAAUUUUAAAAAUGUUAGGCCGAAAUUGGAUGUCAACAGCUGUCCCUUUCGUUGAAUAUGAUGGAUGAAAGAAAUCGUGGACAACGAAAAUUGACUAAUCCAAUUUUUGCCGAACACAUGACCAUUAUAUAAAAGUGUGGUGGAAGUCGAUCCCGGACUUGCCUCCAAAAGGUUUCACGCUGUGUUGCGUCCUUGUUGAAGUAGUCCGCACCUGUGGCUCAACUGAGAAUGCAUCCUCUUGGAUGUUACUCGAAAAACAAGAUGAAACUCAUUAGUAGAGACAAAAUUACAGAGAAAAAGGUUAGCAUCUCUUACGAUACGACAAAUGAAGAUGAUCCAUUAGUAAGAUAAAAAUGCAUGUCCAUCGAUAGGACGAAUGAAGAUGAUAAUCCAUCGGUAGGAUUUUGAAUGUAUGUCCAUCGGUAGGACGAAUGAAAAAAGAUGAUCAAUCGAUAGGAUUUUGAAUGUAUGUUCAUCGGUAGGACGAAUAAAUAUUCUUUCAACGCAAGUCUCCUCCGACUUGAACGCGCAAUAGAUAGGGUGCACAUCCUUCACCUCUGAAUAGAUGCGACUUAAAUGCAAAUAUUUUUCAACGUAAGUUUCCUUCGACUUGAACGUGGAAUAAAUAUGGUGCGCAUCCUUCACCUUCAAAUAGAUGUGAUUUAAAUGCAAAUAUCUUUCAACGCAAGUUUCUUUCGACUUGAACGUUAAAUAGAUAUGAUGUGCAUCCUUCACCUCCAAAUAGAUGCGACUUAAAUGCAAAUAUCUUUCAACGCAAUUUUCCUUCGACUUGAACAUUGAAUAGAUAUGGUGCGCAUCCUUCACCUCUGAAUAAAUGCGACUUAAAUGCAAAUAUCUUUCAAUGCAAGUUUCCUUCGACUUGAACGUUAAAUAUAUAUGGUGCGCAUCCUUCACCUCAGAAUAGAUGUGACUUAAAUGCAAAUAUCUUUCAAUGCAAGUUUCCUUCGACUUGAACGUUGAAUAGAUAUGGUGCGCAUCCUUCACCUCCGAAUAGAUGCGACUUAAAUACAAAUAUCUUUCAACGCAAGUUUCCUCCGACUUGAACGNNNNNNNNNNNNNNNNNNNNNNNNNNNNNNNNNNNNNNNNNNNNNNNNNNNNNNNNNNNNNNNNNNNNNNNNNNNNNNNNNNNNNNNNNNNNNNNNNNNNNNNNNNNNNNNNNNNNNNNNNNNNNNNNNNNNNNNNNNNNNNNNNNNNNNNNNNNNNNNNNNNNNNNNNNNNNNNNNNNNNNNNNNNNNNNNNNNNNNNNNNNNNNNNNNNNNNNNNNNNNNNNNNNNNNNNNNNNNNNNNNNNNNNNNNNNNNNNNNNNNNNNNNNNNNNNNNNNNNNNNNNNNNNNNNNNNNNNNNNNNNNNNNNNNNNNNNNNNNNNNNNNNNNNNNNNNNNNNNNNNNNNNNNNNNNNNNNNNNNNNNNNNNNNNNNNNNNNNNNNNNNNNNNNNNNNNNNNNNNNNNNNNNNNNNNNNNNNNNNNNNNNNNNNNNNNNNNNNNNNNNNNNNNNNNNNNNNNNNNNNNNNNNNNNNNNNNCUUCUCGGUGAAUGAAAAUGCAAUGAAAAAUACAAAUGAUGGAUGACUCAAUGAUUGUGCAUUGUAACGAGGUGGAUGGCUCAAUGAUUAUCCAACUGUAACGAGGUGGAUGACUCAUGUGUCUUAAAAAUGUCAUCACAUUGAUGCUUUCAUCUGUCCCUGUAUUCGAAAUGGAACGGUUAGUAGACAGAAUCUUGUUUUAGCUAGCAACAUGAUCAAGAAACUUUAAGGAAGGAUUCAAAAGAGAAUGUGUACAAAGUGCCUGAUCACUUUGACACAAGUGAGCAAUCAUCAUUUUGCUCUUGAACACUUUGUGUUCAUUGUAACUCAUGUCUUAUUGGAGAUUUAUACGAGGCGUCGGUGGCUCACAUCCUAAGCUUAUUUUGCUUCAUUAUGGCAAUGCUGGAGAUUCUAACAUCGACUUUGAACUUCAAUCAAUACCAGAGAUCAUUUGAGGUUGACUAUCGAACUUCUGACAGUACUUGUUGGAAUCUUUUAGGUCUUCCUCAAAAAUUCUGUCCCAGUUAGAUCUCUUGACAAAUCUCACAAUGCUCUCCAAUCUUGACUUGCUGGGGAAAGCACCUUUAUUGUGAAUUUUUGAUAUAUUCUCAAAAAUUAUGUCCCAGUUUUUAUUACAAAGAGAAAAGAAAAUCACAUUGGGUCUAUGACCGAGCCAUCAUGGCACCUACAUAUCCUAUUGAGCCAGGAAUUAGGUCAAAUGUAGUUCCAAUCAUGUAGAUGAUGAAUAAUGCAAAGAAUCUGAGACAAAAUCAUCAGUAGAAAAUGCACAAUAUGAACAUGAUUAAAUAGGAAAAUAAUAUUCCUUGCGAUAUUCAAAGCCUAAAGACAAGAUAUAUCACAUUUUUGGGAUGGACAACCCAAUGAAGUAAACUAGGCGUCUCACACUGACAGAAUUAACCUAAUGACACUUUUUACAAUGAACAACCCACAAAGGAAAGGCAAAAUCAUUUAUUUUGUUUUAAUGGAAAGAAUUUUAAAAUAAUGUUUUGAAAAAUAUUAAAGAGUGGGUGCUUGUCCCCUUUUUUUUUUUUGAAAUAUAAAUAAUAUAAAGAGAUAGUCAAAUCUUGACUACAAUUGGUACCAGGAGUUAGAAUAACAUGUAAAUCUUUUUUUUUCUUUUUCUAACUAAGAUUGAAUUCAAGGUAACUCCUACAACUUCAAGUGGUACCUCAAACAUACUUAAGUAUCAACAAGAUUUGUUCACCUUGCUUCAAACAAAAGUUUUGAAUUAUACCAAUCCUGAUGUCUCAAUUUCCCUCACAACAAGAAAAGUCUUAUUUCACACAUAUUUGAAGCAUAUUAUUUGAGGACAAUUUUUGAAGUGCACUCACACUCAUAAGAAUGUUCAAUGCAUGCAAAUGUGAUACCAUAUGCUUGGCUCUUAUGUAAAUCUCCACUAAUGUAAGAACAUUUGGAAUAAGAUCAUGUAGGGCUUGUCAUUGGCUUGUAAGGUAGGCUUAGAGACGGGUAGGAUAUAUAUUUGGGAUAAGACUGACUUAAUUCCUUUUUUAGUGUCACAGUGAAUUUGUGUUUUUGAUGAUUGAUACACCUUUGGUGUCUCAUCCUCUUUAUUGUCCCCUAUUUUUUUUCCGACUUCUUUUGAAUCCUUAUUUCUUAGAGAUUUUCCUCUUUUCACCCCCUUUAUUUUUUUUAUUUUUUUCAGUUCUUUGGAGUCCUUAUUUCUUGGGAAUUUUCCUUUUUUCAUCUGUUUCUUUGAAGUUUCCUCCUUUUUUGUUGGAGUAUUUCCUUCUCAUCUUUCAUUGACCUUGUAGGGGGUGUCUUUAUCUUUCUUUAAUUCUUUACGCCUUCCUUUUUUUUUCUUUUUUUUUCUAGAAGUCAUUUUUUGCUUCCUUGACUUUGGGAGACUUUGUAUCUUUUGCCUUUGGCAACUUCAAACAUGGAUCUUCUCUUAUAAUUGCACACUGUUGGUGCACUCAAGAAGGUUGGGCCAAGAGAGGGAUAGUGCAUGUAAGCACUCAAAAGGGGUAUUGACUAAGAUGUGGUUGUCGAAAGAAAGGCUUCAGACUCAAAGUGGGGAAAACUAGGGAUUAAUGUCAUUUUGUAGGUUUUGAAAGGCACAAUCGGGUCAAAGAAGGCCUACAAUCCUUUUCCAAAUCAAACAUAGCUCAUGAUUUCACCUCAAUAAACAUUCAAGCCAAGUUCUAGAUCAACAGUACGAUGCAAUUAAAUUUUGAUCUAAAAGCUCACCACACAAUGCACAUGAAAUCAUGAUGUUGGUUUUAUUCUUAUCUUGAAUGCAUGCAAGAGAAUUUUUAAGCAUCACAAAAGUAUAAAUGAGAGGUACCAAAAUAAUCUAUGGUUUACCACAAAGUCAGUCAUCUUCAUCAUAUCGAAUAUUUUUACAUGCUGCUAAUUGUAUUGGUCCCAUUUGAGCUGAAGACAUGACUCUUUUAAUAUGUACAAAAUGAUUUUUUUUAAAGAAUGAAUAAAUAUCGAACCCAAGAAGGGUUGCUUACGUAUCUCAUCAAGAUGAGAAUCAGGUGUGCGUAGUUCAUGCAUAUAUGUUUUUGAAAAUAUGCACAAACUAUUUGAAUAUUUUUUUUUAAAUUUAAAAGAAUGAAUACCGAACCCAAGAAGGGCUAUCUACGUAUCUCAUCGAGAUGAGAAUCAAAUUCGCGUAGUUCGUGCAGAUAUGGCAUAAAAUAAUUUCAAAAUUUAGACAAAUCUGGAGCGAUUCAUUGUAUCCUCUUAACUGUCGAUCUUUGUACUGUCUGUUGAAUGUGGUCUCUCAAUUUUUAUAGUAACAACUUAAUGUAUUCUUUUUUGGAUGUCUCUUUAAACUGUGUAUACUCCCAAUGAUUCCCAAGAACUAUACAUUAUUAUCAUCAUCCCCGACUGUUGUUGGGAACGAUUUUCCUGUAAAAAUAUGAGAAAUGUGUGAAACUAGGGUCAACAUGCAAAAAAAAUAACAAAAAAUAAAUGAGUGUCAUGACCUCAUGGUCAAAUACUCCCUAGAUAUGUCUUUUUGACUGGAUAUAUAAUGUCUUGUGAAAUACAAAGACUCAAAUUUCGUGAGUCAUCUUAUCCCUUGCAACGUCGAACGAACAAUUACUUUCAGAUUUUGUUAUAAAUCAAACUCUCGUUUAAAAAGAAGAAAAAUUCAAAAGUAAAAGUGUUAGUUCAUGUUCAUAAUGGAUAAUGCAAAAUAUCACAUGAAAAAUUAAUUAAACACAUAAAGCGUUGCUUUGAUUGAAAAUAAACUCAAUUAUAUCACAUAAUAUAUAAACAAUUAUUACGUGUCCUAUACAAAUAUGUGACUAUUUUGUGUCAAGGGUACAAAUAAGUAUGAUUGUCUUUUUAUUGACUACGGACAAACAGACACAAAGUGGGCUUCUUAAAUGUGGAAUCAAUACCCGGGAUCGAUCCACCUAAGGUAUAUAUAUGCAUGACUUAUAUUGAGGGGUGGCUUAGCACUAUCUUAUGUUUUCUAAGAUUUGGCUUACCAGACACAAAGUUCCCGAGUGGACAACUCAAGUGAGGAGGCUACGCGAUCACAUGGAAAAAGAUUCGGACACCCCGCGCAUAUGCCAACUCUCCUAACUUUGGGGAUUUUGAAAGAAAUUUGCGGAUGCGCAAAACACACCUCGCGUGUACGUGUGAUUGUGUGAAUUUUUCAGAAUUGGAGGAAGUAUGGACGAAAUGACAGUUUAUAAAGCAGUAACAAAUAUACAAUUUAUAUAAAGCAGUAACAAAUAAACAUUUUAGAUAAGCAAUAACAAAUAAGCAGUUUAUAUCACAUAAGCAUGAAAAAUAAAGCAUUGGGCAUGUAAAAUAAAGCAAGCAAGUAAGCAUAUGCUAAAAACCUUAAUAAUUAACCUAAGUCUGUUAUGAUUAGAACCUAUUAAAUCUCCAAUAGAGUCGUCAUUUCUGUUAUGCUGUAAUUUUACUAACCUUUAGAAAAAUCACUUUUAAAAUGUUUUAAGUAUAAUACAAUUUGAUAAAAAAAAUACUUAAAAAAGAGUCGCCACUUAAUUUUUAAAAAAAUUAAGAAAACUUAAUUUAAAAAGACUCUAACAGAUUAAGCCUUUAAAAAUAUAGAGAAAAUGGGUAAGAGGUUCUUAUUUACACUUCAAGAAGAUCUUUAAGGCAUUUGGAGCGCCCGCUAACACGCGGUUAUCCUACGACUUGGUUAAUAUAUAUUUUGAUUUUUUUUUUUUAGAAAAAAAAUGAUUUAACAUAAAAUAUAAUAAUUUACAAUAUUUGAUUAACUUUGAGAAAAUAGUUAAAAGAACAAUUUUUAAUUUUUAAGAUAAGGGGGACUCUAAUUAGAAUAUUUGAAAUUAAUUACAAGUGAUUAAAAUUUUAACAAAAUUGGAUUUAUUUGAAUCAUUUUAAUAACAAUUUACACCAGUUUGAUUAAUUAAAAGCAUGAAAACUAUUUUAAAUUAAAUGAAGAAUAAAUAAAAAGUUUUGACUAAAGUUAUUCAAUAAAAGUAUAAGAGUUGAUAAAAUGAAUUUCAUUAAAAUAAACUAUCAUAAAAAAUAUGGUUCCACUUUUGUGGGAUUCAAUUAGGUUAAACCAAAUCAAAUAAAAGGGUUAGAAUUAGUAGACAAAAAAUAUGUCAAAUAUUUAAUAAUAGUAAAAUUUCCAAAUUGUCAAAAAUACCCAAAAAAUGGGCCUAUUGGGCCCAAAAUCAGAAGUCUGUCCACCUGAGCUGAUUUUGAGCCUAACAGCUGCUAUGGAUUAAUCUGGGGUUUGGCUCAAACCUGUCCUAUAUUAUAAUAAGAGCGUGCAGUAGAAAUAUUGUGUAUACACCCAGUAUAUAUUACUGUAUACGAGCUGUAUUUAGCCAUUUUGAAUUAAGUCUACCCAACACCCAAGGCAUGUUGGGCCCAUUAGAAGCCCACCUUGUGUCUGUUGACUAAAAAAUAAUCAAUUAAGUCAAUUUUAUAAGAAUUUCAAGAAUAAACGAAUUUUGAAAGAAUCGCCACCUAUUUUUUAGGAAAAAAUAGAAAACCAAUUAAAUGUCUACGAAAUCAUUAGAUUCUAGGUAAGGGGUUCAAGUUAUUCCGAAAGGAAGAUGUUAAGUAUCCUUCGAAAUCCACACCUUGUGUCUGUUGAUUCAAAAAUAAUCAAUUAAGUCAAUUUUAAAAGAAUUUCAAGAAUAAACGAAUUUUGAAAGAAUCGCCACCUAAUUUUUAGGAAAAAAAUAGGAAACCAAUUAAAUGUCUAUGAAACCAUUAGAUUCUAGGUAAGGGGUUCAAGUUAUUCCGAAAGGAAGAUGUUAAGUAUCCUUCGAAAUUCACAAUUGUGGGUCCUGACUGAAUUCAUUUUAUUAUUUUUUUCAAAUUGAAGAGGAGAUAAAAACAAAUAUACAAGUAUAAUAAACAAGUAAUAUACACACAUAAUUAAAAUAAAAAUAUAAUAAGAAACAAUAAUAAAUAAAAAUUAUAAUUCGAACUCCGUUUGAAUAGCUUCAAUGGAAAUCAGCUUCGUGUACCUGUAAAGACACUUAGUAAAAGUGUGAAUAAAAAUGAAUAACUCAUAUAAUAAAUUAAAAUAAAACCCGUCUUAUUAAUAUGGAAGGCCUUGGAAAUCGACGGUAAUUUCUUCAUUGACCAAUUUUAUGUUUUCAAAAUAGCUAAUAUUUGACAAUUACACUAUUAAAAAUAUGAAAAUAUUGAAAUAAAAAAAAAGAACCAAACUCAUAGCUCAUGACUACAUACACCAUAACAAUAUAACUUAGAAACAAAUGACGUUAAACAAUAAAACUUAUAUGACAACAAAAUCAAAUACCAUAUUAAGAUUUGUGGAAAAAAUAUCUAACCCACAACAUUUAUCUAUAUUUUGUAACAAAUAAUAAAAUAAAAAGAAAUUUAGAAGCAACAACAGUGACCAAAAUUAAAUCCCAACAAUACAUAAUUGAAGAUACAACACCAAACAUCCAUUAAUUAAUAAUUUAAUUAUUAUAUGUAUAUCACUUUACAAUAAAUAAAAGAAGACAAACUAGCAGCUAAUAAAUAUGGUUCACAAACAAACAAAAAUAAUAGAAAAUAGUAGUAAAAAAAAAUAUAGCCAAAAACAAAGAAGACAACACAAACAGUGAUUUAUCGGAGAUGAUUUCGAGUGGUGCUCACCGGAAAAUACUAACAGUCCCAAAGAAUGCUAUAUGAUAGACACAGAGUAAUAAAAAGAAAAUACAAAACAAAAAUAAACAAAAAGAAGGAGCGUGUUCACCAAAUAUUCGCGAAUUCGACCAGAUCUAGACUUAAUCAGUGACUGUGGAAGCAGUAGGCGUGCAGUGGUUGGUCUGAUUCAUCUUCGUUCAUCGGGUAUUGACUGGAACACCUGCAAAACAAAAAAAAUCAUAAAAGGGGGAGGGGAAGGGACUGGUUGUUGUUGGAUUUUUUGGUGGUUUUUUUGGGUUUUUGGUUGUUGUUCAAUCUCACAGUCAGCUCGUGGUUGCUCGCCGGAAAACUUAGCCGAAAAAUGUUUUUGAUGGAUUUUGGUCAUAAAAUUUAUAUCAAAAAAUAGUUCUUGAAGAGCUCUGCACAUUUAUGAAAAGGGUUUAGGAUGGGGAUGACCGGAACUUCAUAAAUCUAAAGAAAUAAGUGAAGAUUUAUGUUUGGUUUUUCUUAAAUCUGCGGAGUUUUGCUAUGGAUAAGGAUGGAUGGUUUGCGGAUUUGUGUUAAGGAGGGUGAAAGGGAAAAAUGGUAAUUUUGGAGAUUUUUUCGCCAAGGGGUGGCGGACUCGCCGGAUUCCGGCGAAACUUCGUUGAGCUUGUCACUGGAAAAUUAUGAACACUCCGAGCAAUUUCAAAAGAAACCCCCUCCCCCUCUCUUAAAAAUCUGAAAAUUAUUUUCUUUAAAACAAUUCCACGACUUUUCACCCUUUUUUCUUUCUACUUUUU
rnacentral:lncRNA from 1 species